GGGCAGUGCGGGGCUGUAAGGCGGGGCGGGGCUCGGGUAUAUAAGGCACCGUUGUGAAGGGUAUGGGUGUCAGUCCACUUUUGUCAGACGAACCGCCAACAUGAAGACCUUCCUGCUCCUCCUUGCCCUUGUUGCUGUCGCUAACGCCCAGACCGAGGCGUGGUGCAGGUGCGCGGCCUUCAUCACAUACAACCGUAAUGAGAUGAUGGUUCACGAGGCGCCAGAAGUUCCUAUUACCUCUUGCGAUGAUGUUAACCAAUGCAAGCAGAAGUGUGUGGCGGAGCUGAACGAUAUAAGCUUUGAUGGCGACCUAUGGCACAUGCUGGACGAUGGGUACACGGUGGGCCAGUCUAUCUGUACCGAACUCGCCAACAGAUUCAUUUUCUUCGUCGUCGGACACAAGGUGUACGGUUACUACGAGGUGUGCGGAGGCGCUUGGCAGUAUGCUGGUGUUGAGAGCACCACCAAGCUGUGUUGCAACGGCGGCCAGCACUCUCACUGCAUCGAUUAAACUCAACACCACAACACCACAAGCCUAGUGUAGCCUAAAGCUGACCACAACCUCCACCCCUUCCCCUUCCGCUGACCUCUUAAAACCUUAAGGGAUUCUCGAAGUGUGUUUUUUUUAUUUAUAUUUUAAUUUUUCUUAAUCAAUUGAGUGUUUAUAUGAUUAAAAGGUCAUUAAUUUUAGGUUUACUUAUAAUCUAGACGCUCAUUUGAUCACGGAAUCUAAAAAAAAAAAACUAUUUUAUUUUUCUGAGUCAAAUGACCGUCUACGUUAUUGAAAACCCUUCGAUUUUUAGCUAUUUCUCGUUAUUAAACACUCAUUUGAUCAUGCCAUCGUAAGAAAAAAAAACAAUUAUAAUCUUCCUGAGUCAAAUGAGCGGUUUGUAAUGAUAAAUAGUCAUCAUUUUGGCUGUUUAUUACUACUAGAUACUCAUUUGACUCACAAGAUCAAGUUCAAGAUCAUGUUUACAUCCACCACUGUCCACUGUCUGUGAUUCAACGCAAAUAAACAUGAAAAAAAUAAAA